AACAAACGCUGGCGGCGUGCCUAACACAUGCAAGUCGAACGAGAAAGUCGGUUUCGGCCGAUGAGUAAAGUGGCGCACGGGUGAGUAACGCGUGGAUAAUCUACCCUUUAGUCCGGAAUAACUUGCCGAAAGGUGAACUAAUACCGGAUGACAUCCCGGGUUCUCCGGAAACCGGGAUCAAAGAAGGCCUCUGCUUGCAAGCUUUUGCUGAAGGAUGAGUCCGCGUACCAUUAGCUAGUUGGUGGGGUAAUGGCCUACCAAGGUUAUGAUGGUUAGCUGGUCUGAGAGGAUGAUCAGCCACACUGGAACUGAAACACGGUCCAGACUCCUACGGGAGGCAGCAGUGAGGAAUAUUGCGCAAUGGGGGCAACCCUGACGCAGCAACGCCGCGUGAGUGAGGAAGGUUUUCGGAUUGUAAAGCUCUGUCGAGCGGAAAGAAAUGCACGAUGGCUAAUAUCCAUCAUGCUUGACGGUACCGCUAGAGGAAGCACCGG
rnacentral:rRNA from 1 species